rnacentral:rRNA from 1 species
AGUGAAUGCUACUGGUAUGCUUAACACAUGCAAGUCGAACGAAGCUUUUGCUUAGUGGCGUACGGGUGAGUAAUGUGAAAGAAUUUAUAAGUAAGAUCGGGACAAGGGGGUAUUUCCGUAUAAAUACCGAAUAGCAAAAAGAUUUAUCGCUUACUUAGGAGCUUUCAUAGGAUUAGGUUGUUGGUUGUGUAAUGGACUACCAAGCCGAUGAUCCUUAGUUGGUCUGAGAGGAUGANCAGCCACACUGGGACUGAGACAAGGCCCAGACUUCCAUGGAGGGCAGCAGUGAGGAAUAUUGGACAAUGGGUGUAAACUUGAUCCAGCAAUACCUAUUGAGUGAAGAAGGGAAUUCUGUAAAACUUAAGGACAAGGAAGAUUAUGACAUUACUUGUUUC